GUGGGGAAUUUUUCGCAAUGGGGGAAACCCUGACGAAGCAACGCCGCGUGGGGGAUGAAGGUCUUCGGAUUGUAAACCCCUGUCGACCGGGACGAAUGUGGUCCGGCCUAAUAUGCCGGGCCAUUGACUGUACCGGUGGAGGAAGCCACGGCUAACUCUGUGCCAGCAGCCGCGGUAAUACAGAGGUGGCAAGCGUUGUUCGGAAUUACUGGGCGUAAAGGGCGCGUAGGCGGUUCGCUAAGUCCCGCGUGAAAUCCCCCGGCUCAACCGGGGAACUGCGCGGGAAACUGGUGGGCUUGAGUUCGGGAGAGGGAAGCGGAAUUCCGGGUGUAGCGGUGAAAUGCGUAGAUAUCCGGAGGAACACCGGUGGCGAAGGCGGCUUCCUGGACCGACACUGACGCUGAGGCGCGAAAGCUAGGGGAGCAAACGGGAUUAGAUACCCCUGUAGUCC
rnacentral:rRNA from 1 species